rnacentral:tRNA from 1 species
UCCUGGUUAGCUCAGUUGGUAGAGCGCUCCGCUGGAAGGCGAGAGGUUUCUGGUUCGAUACCAGGACCAGGCG